GUCUUUUUGAGUUGUAUUUAAAGUCUGACCUGCCCACUGAAUAUUUUAAAUGGCCGCAGUAUUUUGACUGUGCAAAGGUAGCAUAAUCAUUAGUCUUUUAAUUGAAGGCUGGUAUGAACGGUUGGACGAAGUAUAAGCUGUUUCAUAUAAAUUUAUAGUAGAAUUUUAUAUUUUAGUUAAAAAGCUAAAAUUUUAUUAAAAGACGAGAAGACCCUAUAAAUCUUUAUAAUUAAUGUUAAUUAAAUUUUUUUUUUAUUUUAUUUUUUUAAUAUUGAUUAUUUUGUUGGGGUGAUGUUAAAAUUUAAUGAACUUUAAUUUUUUAAAAUCAUUAAUUUAUGAAUUAUUGAUCCAUUAAUAGUGAUUAUAAGAUUAAGUUACUUUAGGGAUAACAGCGUAAUUUUUUUUGAGAGUUCAUAUCGACAAAAAAGUUUGCGACCUCGAUGUUGGAUUAAGGUAUAAUUUGGGUGUAGCCGUUCAAAAAUUAAGUCUGUUCGACUUU
rnacentral:rRNA from 1 species